rnacentral:rRNA from 1 species
CACGGACCUUGCAAGCGCUGACCGGAAUCAUUGGGCGUAAAGAGUUCGUAGGUGGCAUGUUAAGUCUGGUGUUAAAGCCCGAAGCUCAACUUCGGUUCGGCACUGGAUACUGGCAAGCUUGAAUGCGGUAGAGGUAAAGGGAAUUCCUGGUGUAGCGGUGAAAUGCGUAGAUAUCAGGAGGAACAUCGGUGGCGUAAGCGCUUUACUGGGCCGUAAUUGACACUGAGGAACGAAAGCCAGGGUAGCAAAUGGGAUUAGAUACCCCAGUAGUCCUGGCCGUAAACGAUGGAUACUAGGUGUUGCGGGUAUCGACCCCUGCAGUGCCGUAGCUAACGCGUUAAGUAUCCCGCCUGGGGAGUACGCACGCAAGUGUGAAACUCAAAGGAAUUGACGGGGACCCGCACAAGCGGUGGAACAUGUGGUUUAAUUCGAAGCAACGCGAAGAACCUUACCAGGGCUUGACAUCUAGAGAAUUCUAGUGAAAGCUAGGAGUGCCCCUCGGGGAACCCUAAGACAGGUGGUGCACGGUUGUCGCCAGCUCGUGUCGUGAGAUGUUGGGUUAAGUCCCGCAACGAGCGCAACCCUCGUCGUUAGUUGCAUAUAGCGGUAUACUGCUAUAGUGCUCUCUAGCGAGACUGCCGGUGAUAAACCGGAGGAAGGUGAGGACGACGUCAAAUCAUCAUGCCCCUUAUGCUCUGGGCUACACACGUGUUACAAUGGUCGGUACAACGAGCUGCCAACUCGCGAGAGUGAGCAAAUCUCUUAAAGCCGAUCUCAGUUCGGAUUGCAGUCUGUAACUCGACUGCAUGAAGUCGGAAUCGCUAGUAAACGCAGAUCAGCACGCUGCGUUGAAUACGUUCCCGGGUCU